rnacentral:rRNA from 1 species
CGAAGGGGGCUAGCGUUGUUCGGAAUUACUGGGCGUAAAGCGCGCGCAGGCGGUCCUUUAAGUCGGGGGUGAAAGCCCAGAGCUCAACUCUGGAACUGCCUUCGAAACUAGAGGACUUGGGUACGGGAGAGGUGAGUGGAAUUCCGAGUGUAGAGGUGAAAUUCGUAGAUAUUCGGAAGAACACCAGUGGCGAAGGCGGCUCACUGGCCCGUUACCGACGCUCAGGCGCGACAGCGUGGGGAGCAAACAGGAUUAGAUACCCUGGUAGUCCACGCCGUAAACGAUGGAUGCUAGCCGUUGGUAAGCAUGCUUAUCAGUGGCGCAGCUAACGCAUUAAGCAUCCCGCCUGGGGAGUACGGCCGCAAGGUUG